ACCAGUAGAAAUUGAUAUAUAUUUGAUUUAUUAGCUGUACAUCAUUUUAAUUCAUAUCCGUGAAGUUGAUAACUGAAAACUUAUAAAUAAUUUGAUUGAUUUAACUACAUUCUUAUAUAAUGAUUAUCCACUGUCAACUUAACGUGGUAAAGUAGAGUGCACCUCAUCAGUGACUUUUCACCUUCAACAAAUUAGAAAACAAAGGCAAAACAAAAUCAAUUUGCAUUCAGGUGGCCAGUUGGAUUUCUCAUUGCCCAUCAUAUGAAGAUCAGAGAAGGUGAUAGGCGACGUUUGACUAAAACCUCAAGCGGUGUGGUUUUGAUGAUUGUGAGGCCAAACGUCGCACUCAUAUCAACAGGAGCAUCUGAGGGAGUUGUGACCUCAAACGCAUGCAAGAAUGCAGCUAAUGCCAAUUUCGUCAUUUGAAGCCCAAAUGACGCACCGGGGCAAACCCUUCUUCCGCCGCCAAACGGAAGAAGCUCGAAAUGCUGACCCUUCACAUCCACAUCUUUGUGUGCGCUUAGAAACCUCUCUGGUUUAAAUUCCAUUGGAUCUGACCAUACGCGAGGGUCUCUGUGAAGCUUCCAAAGGUUCAAGAGCAUUCGAGUACCUGCUUUGAUAUGAUAACCCCCUAAGCUACAAUCCUCUGUGAAUUCACGAGGUCCUGAUAGUGGUCCAGCGGGGUACAAUCGCAUCGAUUCUUUGACCACAGCUUCAAGGUAUGUUAGUUUGUUAACAUCUGAUUCCUUCACCACUCUUUCUUUUCCUACCUUAUCGUCUAGCUCGUCUUGAACUUUCUUUAGAAUGUGGCGAUGAUUUAGCAGUAACGAAAGUGUCCAUGUCAUGGUAACUGUUGUUGUAUCAGUUGCCGCUGAAAUUAUCAUCUGCAAAUAAUGCAAAAGAGUUAAUUACCAUUAUCUUUAACAAAUAAAAGCCAUCAUUAAAUUUCUUCUAAACUACAGUGGAGCAUACCAAACAAGUGGCUUUGAUGACAGUGUCAAGAUGAUAACCGUUAAGAUGAGCACUAUCAAGAACAGAAAGCAGGACGUCAAUGAAGUCUUGCUCUAUUGAGUUCUCACUCUCAUGAUCAUCAGAGUCUCUUCUUCUUC
rnacentral:lncRNA from 1 species